rnacentral:rRNA from 1 species
GACGGAGGGAGCUAGCGUUGUUCGGAAUUACUGGGCGUAAAGCGCACGUAGGCGGCUAUUCAAGUCGGGGGUGAAAGCCCGGGGCUCAACCCCGGAACUGCCCUCGAAACUAGAUAGCUAGAAUCUUGGAGAGGCGAGUGGAAUUCCGAGUGUAGAGGUGAAAUUCGUAGAUAUUCGGAAGAACACCAGUGGCGAAGGCGACUCGCUGGACAAGUAUUGACGCUGAGGUGCGAAAGCGUGGGGAGCAAACAGGG